GUCUACGGCCAUACCACCCUGAACACACCCGAUCUCGUCUGAUUUCGGAAGCUAAGCAGGGUCGGGCCUGGUUAGUCCUUGGAUGGGAGACCAAAAUCUAUUUUAAAAGACCAUUUGUUAAAUGCA
rnacentral:rRNA from 1 species